ACCGACAUUGGGGGAGUCCAGUCAGCAGUAGCACAGCUCCACCAAAAUACCCCACGGGGCAAUAUAGUCCGAGCCGUUCCUCAGCUAAGAUGUCAAUGGAACUCGUUAAGGGAGGUGCUUUCGCUUGCUUCACGGUGGAGUGUGAGGGCUGAGGGCGGACAAGCCAGACCUGCCUGAACCCCCCAAUUUGAUUACAGCGCUGAUUGGUUUUGGGGAAAGAUGCCUCUAAAGAAAGAAUUGUGCAGAAAUUUUCUGCGCGGAAGCUGUCAGUACGGCGAAAGGUGUAAAUUUCUCCAUGAAACUCAGCAGCAGUUCCGGCCUAGUGGCUCAAACCAACAACAAAAGCCCAAUCCUUUUGGAUUUGGUGUUCAGAGUAGCUCUCAGCCAAGAGCAGCUGCUGACUUUGCGUCGAAGCAUAACCAGUUUAAGCCAUUCGAAAAUAAGUGGACUCGCUUCUCUCCUAUUUCGAAUGCUUCCGUCACUCCAUCACAUCACUCUGAUAAUCAUAGUCAAUCGGGAAAUCACAAAUGCACAGAUCCGGAGUCCUGCAAACGAGUAAUUGUUGAAGAUUUUGAGCAUGAAAGACCGUCAUGGAAGCUUACAUGUUAUGGUCAUUGCAAAUAUGCUCCGUGUGAUAUUAGUGGUGACAUUAGCUAUGAAGAAUUGCGGGCUGCGGCAUAUGAUGAUGCUAAACGCGGGUUGAGCUUGCAGUCAAUUGUCGAGAGGGAGAGGAAUGCACUUAACAUCAAAUUAUCUGAGUUUGAGAAUUUGCUUCGCAGCCCGUAUGUGGCUUCACCGUCCUCAACUGCUAGCCAAAGCGCACGCCUUGGUUUUGGGGCAAAUACAUUCUCAUUAUCAGCUCAAAAUACUGGCCAAUCUGUGGCCUUGAAUUUUGGUGUGCUCCAUGCGUCAUCUAGUGCUGGGGGAUCAAGUCCCUAUGUGCCUUCAAACACUGCUUCGGGGAGUCUAAGUUCUUCUUCAACUUUGCAGCAGACUGCAAGUGCAUUUGGACAAAGUUAUUUGCCCUCUGGAGAAAUAAUGUGCAUCAGAGUGGGCAUGAAUCAAGAGAUGCCAUUGUUUGGCUGAAAGAGAAAUGGAGCCCUGGAGAGGUUAUUGAGGAAAGGGAAGAGGAUAUAUGAUUGAAUGGAUGAUGUCAAGUGUGAUACAGCUGAGUUUAUGGGAUAUUCUUUCUCCAUGUAACGAAGAGCGGAGUUAUAUAGGUAUGUUAUAAUAAUUAACUUGAAUUACCCAUUGUCAAACAAAUUGUUUUGUAAAGUGCUACUAAGCAACGAUUGAAUUUUCACGUAAGGUCUUACUGGUGGAUGAAGUGUAUUAAAAUAGAGAACAGAUAAGAACCAGUUGAGCUCAUAUGUGCGAGGCGGCAACUAGAAAGCAAAACGGCAACACCACCCACCAUCCAUCCAGUAGAAGCAAUCUUAGGAGGAGCAGGUCAAAGUAUUGUUAUCGUACCAAAUGUACCUCACCCAUCGGCUGGGGCCCCCAAAAGCUCCUUCGCCAGAUCUAUGGACAUGACUUCCGCCGCACAACCCAUCACCACCCGGGUUAAAGCCGUGAAUGUCAUACCUACACUUCGAAGUGGCUCAAAGUGACGGAGUUGUACUUAGAACCCCACGGUUGACGACAAGGACACCGAUAUCCUCCGCUACUACUAUGGCCACAGCAUCAAAAAUCACCAUUGAAGCCUCUUCUUGCCCACCCGCAAGUGUUGUUUUAUACAAUGAGAUGAAAAAUUGAUAUUGGUGAAGGACCAUCUCGUUUCCAAUGUCUGAUAUCUUGAGAACCUUCUCUUGUCAGAAGAUUGCUUCAUCACUGAAGUUAUCUAACGUUCUAGCGAGCUCUAUCAA